rnacentral:lncRNA from 1 species
AUGCAAUACAAGUUCUAAGAAACAAAAUAAUUGAGUUUACUUUUUUUUUAAAAAAUGAAAAAAGAUAUCUAUUCUAAAUCCCAUCUUAGAUUUCUUAUGGAUUCCACAUAAACCAAGUCCAUCAUACGAAGGGUUUUACAUGUCAUUAGGGAUUACGGAUGAUAUCAUGUCCUAUCAAUUUUUAGCAAAACUUUAUAGCA